ACGUCAGCGGCAGACGGGUGAGUAACGCGUGGGAACGUACCUUUUGGUUCGGAACAACACAGGGAAACUUGUGCUAAUACCGGAUAAGCCCUUACGGGGAAAGAUUUAUCGCCGAAAGAUCGGCCCGCGUCUGAUUAGCUAGUUGGUAGGGUAAUGGCCUACCAAGGCGACGAUCAGUAGCUGGUCUGAGAGGAUGAUCAGCCACAUUGGGACUGAGACACGGCCCAAACUCCUACGGGAGGCAGCAGUGGGGAAUAUUGGACAAUGGGGGCAACCCUGAUCCAGCCAUGCCGCGUGAGUGAUGAAGGCCCUAGGGUUGUAAAGCUCUUUUGUGCGGGAAGAUAAUGACGGUACCGCAAGAAUAAGCCCCGGCUAACUUCGUGCCAGCAGCCGCGGUAAUACGAAGGGGGCUAGCGUUGCUCGGAAUCACUGGGCGUAAAGGGUGCGUAGGCGGGUUUUUAAGUCAGGGGUGAAAUCCUGGAGCUCAACUCCAGAACUGCCUUUGAUACUGAAGAUCUUGAGUCCGGGAGAGGUGAGUGGAACUGCGAGUGUAGAGGUGAAAUUCGUAGAUAUUCGCAAGAACACCAGUGGCGAAGGCGGCUCACUGGCCCGGUACUGACGCUGAGGCACGAAAGCGUGGGGAGCAAACAGGAUUAGAUAC
rnacentral:rRNA from 1 species